rnacentral:rRNA from 1 species
GAUGAACGCUAGCGGCAGGCCUAACACAUGCAAGUCGAGGGAGGAGCUUUCGGGCUUCGACCGGCGUACGGGUGCGUAACGCGCAUACAAUCUGCCUUUCACAUAGGGAUAGCCCGAAGAAAUUUGGAUUAAUACCUAAUGGUAUAUAGAGGUGGCAUCACCUUUAUAUUAAAGCUGAGGCGGUGAAAGAUGAGUAUGCGUUCUAUUAGCUAGUUGGAGAGGUAACGGCUCCCCAAGGCGACGAUAGAUAGGGGUUCUGAGAGGGAUAUCCCCCACACUGGUACUGAGAUACGGACCAGACUCCUACGGGAGGCAGCAGUGAGGAAUAUUGGACAAUGGUCGGAAGACUGAUCCAGCCAUGCCGCGUGCAGGAAGACGGCCUUAUGGGUUGUAAACUGCUUUUGCAGGGGAAGAAUAAGGACUACGCGUAGUUUGAUGACGGUACUCUGCGAAUAAGCAUCGGCUAACUCCGUG